rnacentral:rRNA from 1 species
GACGAACGCUGGCGGCGUGCUUAACACAUGCAAGUCGAACGGAAAGGCCCUGCUUGCAGGGUACUCGAGUGGCGAACGGGUGAGUAACACGUGGGUGAUCUGCCCUGCACAUCGGGAUAAGCUUGGGAAACUGGGUCUAAUACAGGAUAGGAACCAUCUUGAGGGUGGUGGUUGGAAAGUUUUUUCGGUGUAGGCUGAGAUCGCGGCCUAUCGGCUUGUUGGUGGGGUAAUGGCCUACCAAGGCGGCGACGGGUAGCCGGCCUGAGAGGGUGUACGGGCACAUUGGGACUGAGAUACGGCCCAGACUCCAACGGGAGGCAGCAGUGGGGAAUAUUGCCGAAUGAGGCCAAGCCUGUGGCGGCGGUGCCGCGUUCGUGAUGAAGGGCUUUGGGUUGUAAACGCCUUUCGCUAGGGACGAAGCUCUUUGUGACGGUACCUAGAUAGGAAGCACCGGCUAACUACGUG